UGUAGCCAGGAGGCCCUCACCAGAAGCCAACUCAGUGAGGCUACCUGGCCUUUGGCUUUCGGCCUUUAAACUUGUAAAUCUACUGUGAAUGUUAUGAGCCAAGCCCAGAUCACCAACUUCAAACAGAAUUACAGGUACCUGUAGAGAGUGAUGCUGGCAGACAGGCUUUUACUAAAACCAGCAGAGCAAAGGCUUACUAGAGGCUCUCCUGAGUUUCUCCCUGCUUUAUACCCUGCAAAGGAGAAAAAAAAAAAAUCUCCUUUUGGACAAUUCUAAGCUACAUAGGCCCAUGUUUGCAUUUUUUUCAUCUCAUUCUACAUAGAACUUGUCAGAGAAGCUCAGAAGCUGUUAUCCAACCCAAGGGAAGGACCUGGGAGUGAUGUUUUGGAAAGUUACUGAGUUGGUGCCUAUCACAGGCAAAUUUGAAAAAUACUGCCCUAGGAUACAGCCAAUCGCCACCGAAGGCCUGUGCAGUGCGCAGCAGCGGCUCCUAUCCGGGCUCUGAAGCCACAUUACCCGCCAUGCUUCUCUUCAGGGCAGACGCGAGGUGUGCGUUAGAAUUUCCACGCUCUCAUAGGAAAA